GGAGGGUCCAAGCGUUAUCCGGAAUUAUUGGGUUUAAAGGGUCCGCAGGCGGGCCAGUAAGUCAGAGGUGAAAGUUUGCGGCUUAACCGUAAAAUUGCCUUUGAUACUGCUGGUCUUGAGUUGCGGUGAAGUGGCCGGAAUAUGUGGUGUAGCGGUGAAAUGCAUAGAUAUCACAUAGAACACCGAUUGCGAAGGCAGGUCACUAACCGCCGACUGACGCUGAUGGACGAAAGCGUGGGGAGCGAACGGGAUUAGAUACCCCGGUAGUCCACGCCGUAAACGAUGGACACUAGCUGUCGGGCCAAUUUGGUUCGGCGGCCCAGCGAAAGUGAUAAGUGUCCCACCUGGGGAGUACGUCGGCAACGAUGAAACUCAAAUGAAUUGACGGA
rnacentral:rRNA from 1 species